AUGGUGACCACGGCUUCACCCCAUCCCUCCUUCUUGGCUUCUUCUACCAGGACAAGAAAAAGUCUUCUCCGGAGCUCUGGAAGCAUCACAUUGACAAAACCCGCUGUUUGGCACCAAGCUUUGUGUGGAAGUCAGAAUUAUCAUGAUUUGUUGGCAGCAAAUCCGCUCGCAGUGUUAUCAAGCCAUUACCCCUUGGGACCUUCAUGUGCAAGCCUCAACUUCUAUAAGCCCAUUGCAUCCCAGGACAGCUUUCUGGUCCUCCGCCGCCAAUCGAAAGACGCCAAUGGUCAGGCCACGAGGGAUGUGCUAUGUGUUUGCAAUCCUCUUACUGGUGAAACCUUUAAGAUUCCUACCCUUGAAUAUAUGCCUCCUCACCAUUAUGCCUUAUUAGUCACCAAUGAUGUCGACAUUUAUGGACAUGUGUCCCAGUCCUUCCAGUUGACUGCCAUUUGGAUAAGAAGAUUAAAGCAUUUCAUCUCCGUGUGCUACAACUCGAAGACUGGAACAUGGAUGGAAUCUCCAGUAGUUCCUGAGCUAAGGCGUAGCCUUUGUUUAGUGCCAUCCUCAGCAGCUGCUUAUGAUGGUGUCAUCAGCUGGCUCUGUGAUAGCUGGAAACAAUUGUCGCUCACUCAUGUUGCCACACUACACACUGGCAAUAUGGAGCUUUCAUACCUGGAGCUCCCACCGGAAGCAAAGCGCAACAAGGAUCCAGUGUUGGGGAGUUCAGCGGACGGUGGGCUUCUGUUGCUCUUCAUGCAAGGUCUGCGGGUGUCACUCUGGAAACACAACAGUGAGCUUGGCAGUGACACCAGCAGCUGGGUGCUAUCUGAAAGGAUUGACAUGAGAAGUUCAUUGCCGCAGCGGGUGGUCACGUUAGGGAUGAGGGGGGAGGUCAGCUUGGAGAUGUUCCGGGGCAAGAGCGGUGCGGUGGUGCUCUGGGUUGAUGGAGAUGGCUUCUUUCUAUUCAGCCUCAGUGAUAGGUCGAUAAGGAAGAUUGACUGUGCAAGUGUGACCAACAAGUACUUCCUCUGCCCAUAUGAGAUUGAUUGGCUGGCCUGCCUCGCAAUAACGAACCUCGUCAUGGAUGGCUCCUUGUCGCUGGAUGUAGAAAGGAAGAAGGCUCAAGACAGAUGGAGGACAUUAAUGGGAAUGAAUAUGGCGACGAUCAGAGCAUCUUAA
rnacentral:rRNA from 1 species